rnacentral:tRNA from 1 species
GAGUAUAGAGCAGUUUGGUAGCUC